CCCUUAGAUGUUCUGGGCUGCACGCGCGCUACACUGAAGCUAUCAACACGUUUUCCCUCCCUGAGAAGGGCGGGUAACCUUUUGAAUAAGCUUCGUGGUAGGGAUCGGGGCUUGCAAUUGUUCCCCGUGAACCAGGAAUUCCUAGUAGACGCGAGUCAUAAGCUCGCAUCGAUUAAGUCCCUGCCCUUUGUACACACCGCCCGUCGCUACUACCGAUUGAACGUUUUAGUGAGGCAUUUGGACCGACGCAUCUCAGUUUAACCGCUGGUUUGUGUUGGAAAGACUUCCAAACUUGAGCGUUUAGAGGAAGUAAAAGUCGUAACA
rnacentral:rRNA from 1 species